rnacentral:Y_RNA from 1 species
GACUGGUCCGAUGGUAGUGAGUUAUCAGAAUUUAUUAAUGUUAGUGUCACUAAAGUUGAUAUGCAACUCUCCACAGCUCAAUUUGAUUGGCUUUUA